rnacentral:rRNA from 1 species
AUGCACGCUGGCGGCGUGCCUCAUACAUGCAAGUCGCGCGAACAGACGAGGAGCUUGCUCCUCUGACGUUAGCGGCGGACGGGUGAGUAACACGUGGAUAACCUACCUAUAAGACUGGGAUAACUUCGGGAAACCGGAGCUAAUACCGGAUAACAUGUUGAACCGCAUGGUUCAACAGUGAAAGACGGUCUUGCUGUCACUUAUAGAUGGAUCCGCGCCGCAUUAGCUAGUUGGUAAGGUAACGGCUUACCAAGGCAACGAUGCGUAGCCGACCUGAGAGGGUGAUCGGCCACACUGGAACUGAGACACGGUCCAGACUCCUACGGGAGGCAGCAGUAGGGAAUCUUCCGCAAUGGGCGAAAUCCUGACGGAGCAACGCCGCGUGAGUGAAGAAGGUCUUCGGAUCGUAAAACUCUGUUAUUAGGGAAGAACAAAUGUGUAAGUAACUAUGCACGUCUUGACGGUACCUAAUCAGAAAGCCACGGCUAACUACGUG